AGUCGAGCGGCAGCACAGAGGAACUUGUUCCUUGGGUGGCGAGCGGCGGACGGGUGAGUAAUGCCUAGGAAAUUGCCCUGAUGUGGGGGAUAACCAUUGGAAACGAUGGCUAAUACCGCAUGAUGCCUACGGGCCAAAGAGGGGGACCUUCGGGCCUCUCGCGUCAGGAUAUGCCUAGGUGGGAUUAGCUAGUUGGUGAGGUAAUGGCUCACCAAGGCGACGAUCCCUAGCUGGUCUGAGAGGAUGAUCAGCCACACUGGAACUGAGACACGGUCCAGACUCCUACGGGAGGCAGCAGUGGGGAAUAUUGCACAAUGGGCGCAAGCCUGAUGCAGCCAUGCCGCGUGUAUGAAGAAGGCCUUCGGGUUGUAAAGUACUUUCAGUCGUGAGGAAGGUGGUGUUGUUAAUAGCAGCAUCAUUUGACGUUAGCGACAGAAGAAGCACCGGCUAACUCCGUG
rnacentral:rRNA from 1 species